UUUGGUUCUACUCACAUAAAACCUUGUAAUCAAAACAAAUGGCAUUUCUAAUUGAGCAAGGCCCUCUUGGUAAUGAAGGGCAGCAGCGCUGUUGAGAUCACUGGUUCGUGUUUCUCUCCCUGUUCAGGAGACUAAACUAAUUUAUUUGUGAAAUCAAAGCAACCCACCAGAUUAGCCAUAUAACUAGCUAGCUGCGUUGUUUAGAUUCACUUGUUUGCUAUCUCAUGACAUCCAAGUGAACAAGCUAUAUGUCAAUGAAAGCGUUGGCGCUCUAUCGUAUAUUAUAGACUAGUUUGAAGUGCAAAAAAAAAGAUCGUGCAAUGGGGCCACAAGCAGUAAUUAUUUUUUUUUCCUGUGAGCAUAUGCUGCGAGUGGGAAAGGACCGUAUAAUGUAAACGGAGGUUUCAUUAGCGAUGACAUGUGGCAGUCCCCGGGUAAAGGAAGAGAAAGCAAAUCUGGGAGCACCUGUAGACUUCGCAGGCUUGUACCCGUGAGGAAGAGGCACGUGCAGGGAUGUACCGAGGGCAACGGUACGGGAAGGUGCCCGGCGUGUUACGGGACUGACCACGCUGAAUGCUGAAGACCUUGCCGUCCCCGCGGGCGCGCUGAGCAUCUCCAUCAUUACCCUCUCGCCAGCUCGCGAGCUGAUAUUAAACGGACUCUGCGGUAGAGGUGCCGGUGGCAUGAGCUGCUGAGCUCAGCAACGCUUCAUCAGGACGCUUAGAUUCACAGCUUUUUCCCCGGCUGAACUCAAGCAAGGCAGACCCCGCGGGAGCCGCUGCUCCGGAGAGCAGCACGCUUUGGUUGCCCGUCGCACCCCAUCCCGGUCGAAGGCAGGCAGUCACCCAAAGGCAUCUGCCAGCACAACUGCCUCCAAACUCUGCUGAGGAACCAGAUGCAGCAGGAGAAAGGGAAAAAAAAAAAAAAAAUCCCUUCUGUGGCUUGGCAUCUGCACGGCACACGUGCCAAGCGGUGCGGGAGCAGGGGGAGAGGAAGCGGCGGCGGACUGGGGGCUAUUUGGCACCCCUGCAGCCCGCAAACGGUUUGGGUUUGAGCUGAGAAACAAGCGACGUGCGCUAAUGUAAAGUGUGUGUUUUUCGCAAUUUGAAAAGCCCGUGUUGAAAUGGGAAAAAAGAAAAAAAAAGCCAAUGGGUAGAUUCUGCUGAGUUCAGCAGAGUCAGAAUCCUUCUAACAUAAAGGGGGGCCUCUCUGUAUACAGGCUACGUGGGGUGCAGUUGCAAGGAGGAGCCCCCACCCCUUAUCUAUUUCAGAAGGUGCUGAAGGUGUCCUGGGACCGUUCAGCACCGACAGUCGGCUCGUACAGCUAAAAACCCGCUUGAUUUUUUAAUGUUCAAGCCUGUACAAGCUGCUUGAAGCAAGAUGUAAAGCAGGUGUUAGAAGCCUCUGGAAAGUUUGCUGUCAAUUACUGUGAUUUCCUCUUCCCAACAAAGACUUAAAAGCUGAAUGGAUCUUUUCAGUUAUGUAAAUGCACUUUUCCAUAAAUACUUAUUUUGCAGCAGAAGCCAAAAAAAAUGCCUGUGGGGGCUGGUGUGUCUAGUUAGGGACUGAUCUAAUCCCGCUCACGUCCGUGAGGUCACGGAGGUAUUCCGGCUGGCGGCGGCCUGGGUCAGCUCUGAGCGUGGGUGUCCGAGGCUGCCACCCUGCUGUGGCUGUGGGUGCUCCCGGGGGGGGUCGCAGGGCAUUUCUGCACCCCCCGUGCACACUCUGCUCUCUGGUGGGCAGCGGGGCUGGGACAGGAUGCGGUUUUUGAUUUUGUAAAAUCUGAAUUGAAUAGGAAUUGUCUCACUGCUACUGAGUCAUCAGGAGAAAACCUUCCCCCUGCCCUCAAAUUUGAGAGGAAUAUAUUUGCAUCACGAAAACUAAUCCACUGCUCCUUGUUUCUGAAGAGCCAGAGGUUUAUUCAGCUUCUGGACUGUGAGCUAAAACUCCUUUGCAGGCAUGACUGGAUGUGAGGUUUUUCUCUCUUCACUGCAAAGGCUGUGUGCUGGGGUAUAGCAAUGCAAUGGGUGAGACUGGGAGGACCGCACUUAAGCUUCUCUCCCAAACUGGUGGAUGUUUGGUAGCUUCAGCAGAUAAGAAUGCUGGCUGUUGGCAACGUACUUUU